rnacentral:rRNA from 1 species
GUGGGGGAUAUUGCACAAUGGGGGAAACCCUGAUGCAGCGACGCCGCGUGCAGGAAGACGGUCCUCUGGAUUGUAAACUGCUGUGUUCAGGGACGAUAAUGACGGUACCUGAAUAGAAAGCUCCGGCUAACUACGUGCCAGCAGCCGCGGUAAUACGUAGGGAGCGAGCGUUGUCCGGAAUUACUGGGUGUAAAGGGAGCGUAGGCGGGAGAGCAAGUUGGAUGUGAAAACUGUCGGCUCAACUGACAGACUGCAUUCAAAACUGUUUUUCUUGAGUGAAGUAGAGGCAGGCGGAAUUCCUAGUGUAGCGGUGAAAUGCGUAGAUAUUAGGAGGAACACCAGUGGCGAAGGCGGCCUGCUGGGCUUUUACUGACGCUGAGGCUCGAAAGUAUGGGGAGCAAACAGGAUUAGAAACCCUAGUAGUCC